rnacentral:rRNA from 1 species
UCUGGUCCUUUUGUGCCCCGCCGCCGCGGUACUCCGUAGGGAGCGAGCGUUGUCCGGAAUUCCUGGGUGUAACGGGAGCGUAGGCGGGAUCGCAAGUCAGAUGUGAAAACUAUGGGCUUAACCCAUAAACUGCAUUUGAAACUGUGGUUCUUGAGUGAAGUAGAGGUAAGCGGAAUUCCUAGUGUAGCGGUGAAAUGCGUAGAUAUUAGGAGGAACAUCAGUGGCGAAGGCGGCUUACUGGGCUUUAACUGACGCUGAGGCUCGAAAGCGUGGGGAGCAAACAGG